rnacentral:rRNA from 2 species
UGCAGUCGAACGAUGAUGCCCAGCUUGCUGGGUGGAUUAGUGGCGAACGGGUGAGUAACACGUGAGUAACCUGCCCCUGACUCUGGGAUAAGCGUUGGAAACGACGUCUAAUACUGGAUAUGACUGCCGGCCGCAUGGUCUGGUGGUGGAAAGAUUUUUUGGUUGGGGAUGGACUCGCGGCCUAUCAGCUUGUUGGUGAGGUAAUGGCUCACCAAGGCGACGACGGGUAGCCGGCCUGAGAGGGUGACCGGCCACACUGGGACUGAGACACGGCCCAGACUCCUACGGGAGGCAGCAGUGGGGAAUAUUGCACAAUGGGCGAAAGCCUGAUGCAGCAACGCCGCGUGAGGGAUGACGGCCUUCGGGUUGUAAACCUCUUUUAGUAGGGAAGAAGCGUAAGUGACGGUACCUGCAGAAAAAAGCACCGGCUAACUACGUGCCAGCAGCCGCGGUAAUACGUAGGGUGCAAGCGUUGUCCGGAAUUAUUGGGCGUAAAGAGCUCGUAGGCGGUUUGUCGCGUCUGCUGUGAAAUCCCGAGGCUCAACCUCGGGCUUGCAGUGGGUACGGGCAGACUAGAGUGCGGUAGGGGAGAUUGGAAUUCCUGGUGUAGCGGUGGAAUGCGCAGAUAUCAGGAGGAACACCGAUGGCGAAGGCAGAUCUCUGGGCCGUAACUGACGCUGAGGAGCGAAAGCGUGGGGAGCGAACAGGAUUAGAUACCCUGGUAGUCCACGCCGUAAACGUUGGGCGCUAGAUGUAGGGACCUUUCCACGGUUUCUGUGUCGUAGCUAACGCAUUAAGCGCCCCGCCUGGGGAGUACGGCCGCAAGGCUAAAACUCAAAGGAAUUGACGGGGGCCCGCACAAGCGGCGGAGCAUGCGGAUUAAUUCGAUGCAACGCGAAGAACCUUACCAAAGGCUUGACAUACACCGGAAACGGCCAGAGAUGGUUGCCCCCUUGUGGUCGGUGUACAGGUGGUGCAUGGUUGUCGUCAGCUCGUGUCGUGAGAUGUUGGGUUAAGUCCCGCAACGAGCGCAACCCUCGUUCUAUGUUGCCAGCGCGUUAUGGCGGGGACUCAUAGGAGACUGCCGGGGUCAACUCGGAGGAAGGUGGGGAUGACGUCAAAUCAUCAUGCCCCUUAUGUCUUGGGCUUCACGCAUGCUACAAUGGCCGGUACAAAGGGCUGCGAUACCGUAAGGUGGAGCGAAUCCCAAAAAGCCGGUCUCAGUUCGGAUUGAGGUCUGCAACUCGACCUCAUGAAGUCGGAGUCGCUAGUAAUCGCAGAUCAGCAACGCUGCGGUGAAUACGUUCCCGGGCCUUGUACACACCGCCCGUCAAGUCAUGAAAGUCGGUAACACCCGAAGCCGGUGGCCUAACCCUUGUGGAAGGAGCCGUCGAA